AACGAACGCUGGCGGCAGGCUUAACACAUGCAAGUCGAGCGCGCCCUUUCGGGGGUGAGCGGCGGACGGGUGAGUAACGCGUGGGAACGUGCCUUCUUCUCCGGAAUAGCCCUGGGAAACUGGGAGUAAUGCCGGAUACGCCGAGCCAUAGCGAUAUGGUUUGGGAAAGAUUUAUCGGAGGAAGAUCGGCCCGCGUCGGAUUAGGUAGUUGGUGGGGUAACGGCCUACCAAGCCGACGAUCCGUAGCUGGUUUGAGAGGAUGACCAGCCACACUGGGACUGAGACACGGCCCAGACUCCUACGGGAGGCAGCAGUGGGGAAUCUUGGACAAUGGGGGCAACCCUGAUCCAGCCAUGCCGCGUGAGCGAUGAAGGCCUUAGGGUUGUAAAGCUCUUUCAGCGGGGAAGAUAAUGACGGUACCCGCAGAAGAAGCCCCGGCUAACUCCGUGCCAGCAGCCGCGGUAAUAC
rnacentral:rRNA from 1 species